AAAGUGUUCACUACAUUGUGAAAAAUCUGCAUAAAAACACCUGUAUGGCAGGACUGCAAUAAAUGAAGUGAAUGCACAUGUGUCAUCU